rnacentral:rRNA from 1 species
CCUACGGGGGGCAGCAGUGGGGAAUUUUUCACAAUGGGGGAAACCCUGAUGCAGCGACGCCGCGUGAGUGAAGAAGUAUUUCGGUAUGUAAAGCUCUAUCAGCAGGGAAGAAAAUGACGGUACCUGACUAAGAAGCGCCGGCUAACUACGUGCCAGCAGCCGCGGUAAUACGUAGGGGGCAAGCGUUAUCCGGAUUUACUGGGUGUAAAGGGAGCGUAGACGGCGGAACAAGUCAGAAGUGAAAACCGGGGGCUCAACCCUGGGAGUGCUUUUGAAACUGUUUGGCUGGAGUGCAGGAGGGGUAAGCGGAAUUCCUAGUGUAGCGGUGAAAUGCGUAGAUAUUAGGAGGAACACCAGUGGCGAAGGCGGCUUACUGGACUGUAACUGACGUUGAGGCUCGAAAGCGUGGGGAGCAAACAGGAUUAGAUACCCCUGUAGUC